UGUGAGAUUGCAUGCUUUAUUCGAUGCGGCUUUGGCAGCUGGACUGGUAGCAGCCAGAACCAUCGCUGGAAAAUAUGUUGACAUGACGGUUUUUCUCUGAUUUUCCACUCCAUAGAUUUCAAAAUCUGCCUGGAAAUAUAUGAUGCCCAUUGACUCCAUACCUUUCCAUGAAAUCAUCUGCUUUAAGAACGUCGACAAACUUCAAGCAGGUUGCUGAUUUCGUGGUGGCAAAUUCCGAUCCUUUCAUACCUAU